rnacentral:rRNA from 1 species
UACGUAGGGUGCAAGCGUUGUCCGGAAUUAUUGGGCGUAAAGAGCUCGUAGGCGGUUUGUCGCGUCUGCUGUGAAAUCCCAGGGCUUAACCCUGGGCCUGCAGUGGGUACGGGCAAACUAGAGUGCGGUAGGGGAGAUCGGAAUUCCUGGUGUAGCGGUGAAAUGCGCAGAUAUCAGGAGGAACACCAAUGGCGAAGGCAGCUCGCUGGGACGGUACUGACGCUGAGACGCGAAAGCGUGGGGAGCAAACAGG